UGGGGAAUAUUGCACAAUGGGCGAAAGCCUGAUGCAGCAACGCCGCGUGAGGGACGACGGCCUUCGGGUGUAAACCUCUUUNGCAAGGAAGAAGCGAAAGUGACGGUACUUGCAGAAAAAGCGCCGGCUAACUACGUGCCAGCAGCCGCGGUAAUACGUAGGGCGCAAGCGUUAUCCGGAAUUAUUGGGCGUAAAGAGCUCGUAGGCGGUUUGUCGCGUCUGCUGUGAAAACCCGAGGCUCAACCUCGGGCCUGCAGUGGGUACGGGCAGACUAGAGUGCGGUAGGGGAGAUUGGAACUCCUGGUGUAGCGGUGGAAUGCGCAGAUAUCAGGAAGAACACCGAUGGCGAAGGCAGAUCUCUGGGCCGUAACUGACGCUGAGGAGCG
rnacentral:rRNA from 1 species